rnacentral:rRNA from 1 species
UACAGAGACUGCAAGCGUUAUUCGGAUUCACUGGGCGUAAAGGGUGCGCAGGCGGCCGGGUGUGUCAGAUGUGAAAUCCCGAGGCUUAACCUCGGAACUGCGUCUGAAACUACUCGGCUAGAGUACUGGAGAGGGUAGCGGAAUUCACGGUGUAGCAGUGAAAUGCGUAGAUAUCGUGAGGAACACCAGAGGCGAAGGCGGUUACCUGGACAGUUACUGACGCUCAGGCACGAAAGCAUGGGGAGCAAAAGGG